rnacentral:tRNA from 1 species
CAUAGAGUACCUGAACAAAGGAUUAUUUUGAUGAAAUAAAUUACACAGAACCCCCUCCCUCUGUCUCUGUGA